rnacentral:rRNA from 1 species
CAGGAUGAACGCUAGCUACAGGCUUAACACAUGCAAGUCGAGGGGCAGCAUUGGGAUAGCUUGCUAUUCCAGAUGGCGACCGGCGCACGGGUGAGUAACGCGUAUCCAACCUUCCCUAUAGUAGAGAAUAGCCCGGCGAAAGUCGGAUUAAUGCUCUAUGUUGUGUUUUGAGGACAUCUGACGAACACCAAAGGUUCACCGCUAUAGGAUGGGGGGAUGCGUCUGAUUAGCUUGUUGGCGGGGUAACGGCCCACCAAGGCGACGAUCAGUAGGGGUUCUGAGAGGAAGGCCCCCCACAUUGGUACUGAGACACGGACCAAACUCCUACGGGAGGCAGCAGUGAGGAAUAUUGGUCAAUGGGCGAGAGCCUGAACCAGCCAAGUAGCGUGCAGGAAUGACUGCCCUAUGGGUUGUAAACUGCUUUUAUCAGGGAAUAAAGUGCGGCACGUGUGCCGUUUUGUAUGUACCUGGUGAAUAAGGACCGGCUAAUUCCGUGCCAGCAGCUGC